ensembl:lncRNA PACRG-AS1 PACRG antisense RNA 1
GCGGGUCCUGCGUGGUCCCCAGAGGAACCCAGUGAGAAAUCCGGAGGAGACGGACAGAGAGGAGGAUGACUUCCUUUUGUAUUACAACGUCAUGAUUACAAAUAAUCAUAAUAGAGUGCCCAUUUUAAAGUGGCCUUUCCCUCCAAGCACACAGGAGACUCCCUCAGAUUCCCUAGGAAACCAAAGAAAUACUGAAUCUACUCCACAAAAGUUAUGACUAUUACAGGAGAAAGGAAAAAAUCGAAGGUGAAGGAAGCAAAGACAGAAAGGAAGGACGGUUUGGUGGCCAGAGCGAGGUCUUCCCACGUCACUCCCGGGACGUGUGCUGACGCGUUGCUCCUCCGUCCUGCAGAACGCCGUGGGUCGUGGCAGCAGCUGCAGCUGUUUCACAGGCUGUCCUCCCUGUAGACUAAGCAUCUACUCCGCGCUAUAGGGCAAUGCGAGACAAAAAAGACCCCCGGGAGCUUGCCAUCCAGCUGAGGAAGCCUAAUUAGCCACGCUUCCUGUAGCAUACAGUGGUCACUUUCUCCUCCAUGGAAGUAUGUCUGGGCCCACGCACCCCACUGCUUCCAGAGCCUCCACGCGCU